rnacentral:misc_RNA from 1 species
AGCAGCCGCGGUAAUUCCAGCUCCAAUAGCGUAUAUUAAAGUUGUUGCAGUUAAAAAGCUCGUAGUUGAAUUUCGGGAUCAAUAUGUUGGUCGUGCCUUGGUACGUACUGGCAUUAUUGGUUUCUACCUUCUGAAGAACCUCGAUGUCAUUAAUUUGGUGUCUUGGGGAAUCAGGACUGUUACUUUGAAAAAAUUAGAGUGUUUAAAGCAGGCUCGCGCUUGAAUACAUUAGCAUGGAAUAAUGAAAUAGGACGUUUGAUUCUAUUUUGUUGGUUUCUAGGAUCGACGUAAUGGUUAAUAGGGAUAGUUGGGGGCAUUAGUAUUCAAUUGUCAGAGGUGAAAUUCUUGGAUUUAUUGAAGACUAACUACUGCGAAAGCAUUUGCCAAGGAUGUUUUCAUUAAUCAAGAACGAAAGUUAGGGGAUCGAAGACGAUCAGAUACCGUCGUAGUCUUAACCAUAAACUAUGCCGACUAGGGAUCGGAUGAUGUUAAUUUUUUAAUGUACUCAUUCGGCGCCUUA